rnacentral:tRNA from 1 species
GCCUGGCUGACUCAGUGAGUAGAGUAUGUGACUCUCAAUCCCAGGGUCAUGAGUUUGAGCCCCAUGGCAGGCA